GCCAUUUCAAGGGUUGGGGAUUGGGGGCAGUGAGUAGGAUUUUGAAAUAUUUUUGUCUAGCUUCUAGGGAAAGUCCGGUUCUGGAGAUCCAAUAAGUUGUGUCUGGUCUGGUGGGGAGAGCACAGACCUCUAAAGCCGAGGUGGCCACUGAGGGAGGGCAUGAAGAGCUUUCCUCCUCUACCACGUUUAGGAACUGUGAUCUCUGAGUCAUUCUCUCCUCCUACUUCUGUGUCGGUCCAUCGUAUGGAGGGUCCUUAUUUAUUAUGUAGAUGCACUUAUCAGUAUAGUCAAUGUCCUCACUUAAUUAGAUUUUGAUUACAGAAGAGCUUAAGAUGGACAUCUUCCUCACACUGAUCUUAAAGCUCAAUGGAUGAGAAAAGACGACAGGAAGUAGUAUUCCAGCCAUCUGAGUACCUUACUGUACACAGAAAUGGGUUGGCAUAUCAUAAAUAUGUAUUUGGAUAAAUUAAUAUUUUCUGUCUUGGAGUUUCUGAUUUUUUUUAACCCUGUCUAAUAAAAAUUUUUCCCCACCAUGUAGGGUCCAAACCCAGGGCUUUGUACAGCGCCCCGACAUUAAUCUGUAGCCUCAGCCCACUGUUUUGCUUUUUAAUUUAAGACAGAUUCUCAGUACAUUGCCCAGAGUGGACUUGAGCUCACUCUACAGUACAGGCAGGAUGUCAGGUUAUGAUGUUACAGGCCAGGCAUAUAUCUUAUAAGCUCUGAGUUCAGGUAUUUGAAAUAAUGUUUAUAGCUAGCCUGUAGAGUUACUGGGAUUAAGUAGUACAGUGCAUAUGCACACAUGUGUGUUUGUGUGUGCAUGUGAGAACUGAUAAUAGGUGUUGAAUAAACUGAAUAUAGGCCAUAUGCCUGGAGAUUUUCCUAGGGUGUGAAUGCCCAUGAGUUUCAAAGAAACAUAAUCUCUACUCUGGUUAAGGUAUGUGUGACUGCAGCUGCUGUCUGUUCCCUGUGCUCCCUGUCAUCUCUGAGGCCUGAUUUUAGGGUGACAGUGCUUAGUUGCUCACAGUCAGUCCCCUGGGCCUUCCAGCUUGUGUCUAAUACUGCCUUUUGGAUACUGUCCACUUCCUGCUAGUUGAAGUUUUAUUAUUGGUGAUGGUGGUGGUGGUUUUAUUAUUUGCUUAUUGAAACAAGGUUUCACUCAGUAGCCCAGGCUGGUCUCAAACUCAAAUGAAUCAUCCCAUCUCAGCCUGCCAUGCACAAGAACUUAUCAUCGGCAUGCGCUGCCACCCCCACCACCCCCUACUGUGUUUGUUUCCCUGGGACAGUCUCACUCUGCCAACAAGGCUGACCUGGAAUUUGGUGUCCUCCUGCUUUAGUUUUUCUAAGUGCCAGGAUUACAAGCAUGCACCACCACACCUGUCCCCUGAGUGACUUUCUCAGGGACUUCUACAGAGUAUAGGCUGUAAGGAAAACCUGUACCUUCUUGUGCUUUCCUGAGACGAUGCAGGUGUUUACAGACCUCCAUCAGAAGGGAAGCUGAAUCUUUCUGUUUUCCUCCUUUUAUAUUUCUUUGACAAAGAGGAACUUGGGGAUCCAGUAAGCUAGAACCUGGGGGGCUCCUCAAAACAGGAUCCAUACUUUCCUUCCAUCUCUCUAACCCUCUCAUAUAGCUAUGACAAAUAGCCUUCUCUAAGAAGCCAGCCUGUUGCCAGAAGACCAUUCGCAGAUGCCUCUCAACCUCAUAGGAUUUUGUCACCUAUGGGAGGCUCCUGCAGAUUAAUAAUGGGAAUAAAGAUACGGGAGUGAAUCUAGAUUCUAGUUAGAAACCAAUAUGAAAUAAGUUUGAGUAGACUGGCGUUGGGGAGCAUUGUGCUUAAAACCCUUCUUACGCAGGAGCUGAGAGGAGACUCUCAUGAGCCUGGACAUUUGAAGCUGGCAUGGCUGGGGAGGGGAGUGGUAGUAGUAAGGAAAAUAGAGCACCCCUUUAUCCUUUUAUUUUUGCUUGGAUUGAUAACAUGCUUAGUGUAGAUAGAACUCUUUAAAUCAUAGCUCAUAAGGAGCCUUAUAGGAGCUUGAGAGUUUUGACACUAACGUGAUUUUGUUAGCCUCCGUUUAUACAAUUCUAGAGGCAGAUAUGACUUAGUUUUUAAUUAAUUUUUCUCACUUUUUAUUGGUUAAGUUUGUUGUUUGACUAGCACCUAAUUUCAAUAUUCUCUGUCUAGGUUAAAUGGUUUAAAGGCCUUGAGGUCUUUGUACCAGGUAGAAAAUGAUGGAAUAGUUUCUAUUUUCUGACUUACAGCCUAUCGAUGUCCUGUUGCCUCUUUUGUACAGAAUUACAGAGGACUUAAGAUAGGUUUUGCCUUUUAAAGGGUGUUUUACUUGUGUGUGUGUGUAUGCCUGAGUGAGUUUAUAUGCAUCAUGAAGGCUGGAGCCUAAAGAUGCCAGAAGUUGGUGUCAAUUGUGAGUUGACAUGUGGGUACUGGGAACUGAACACGGAUCCUCUGCAAGAGCAGUAGGUGCUUUUAACUGCUGAGCUAUCUUUCCAGCCCGGGUUUUGCAUUUUAAUGUCCGAUAAGACAUGGGACUGAGCCCAGUGUGCAUGCUAAUGCUGCUCCUGCAUUGCAUUCAUGUGUUGGAGUACAGUUGCUCCUCAGUCUAGAGUAGGUUAGAAUAAAGAGGACCUGAGAGUGGGGACCUGGGUGACUUCAGUAUUUGACUGUGACUGGCCACAAGGUUUACAGAGUGACCUGAAAAGAGGAGGGACAUUUAGAGAAAUAAGAAGGGGCGGGAAAGAUGUGGAAGAAGCCACAGGCUCCAGCCUACAUUUGUUUGUUUGUUUGAUGUUAUGUGUGUCUGUGCAUUGUUUGCAUAUUAUGUAUUCGUUCCAUGUGCAAGCCUGUUGCCUGGGGAGUUCAAAUAGAGUGUCAGAUCCCCUGGAGCUGGAGUUAGAGAUGGUUGUGAGUCACCCUGUGGGUGCUUUGGAAAGGAGCCAGUGCUAGCCAUCACUCCAGCCCCAAGCUCUCAGUCUUUAUGGCUCUACAUAAACAAAAGCUAAGAUGAAGACUGGGAACUAGCGGGACACUUUGUCAGUGCGGGCUUGUCAUUUAGCACCAAUGGAACCCUUCUCAUUUUCUUGCUUCUUUCCCACUUCCAAUUCCUUUCUUUAAAAAAAAAAAUGUUUACAAUACCAUAUUAUCAAUUAUGUCUAAUAAUGGGCUUCAUUACAUCAUUCCAUACAUAUGUAUAAUGCAUUUUUAUCACAUCCACCAUCACCUUCUCCAGUCCUCCCCUCCCCCUCCCCCUCCCUUCAUCUUCCCAGCUCAUCCCCCCCAAUCCCCAACCCCCGUCUACUCUCACCUCUCAUGUCUUCUUCUUCCUCCUCUUCUCCUAACAACACAUUGGAUUUCACCAGAGUUGUCACAUAAACAUGGGUGACAGGUCAUUUACAGGAGCAUGGAUACCUUGCCAGUGGGUACCCACCCUGGGGGGGUCUCUGACCCCUCCUACCCACCCCCCAAAUCAUUAACUGCCUAUAGACCCUCAGGGAGGGUUGGGCCUCAUAAGCCCUUCCCCCAUCCCAAUUUUUCUUAUACUCUAGCUUGACAGCACACCAUUGUGUAACCCAGCCUAGCUUCAGAUUUUCAACCCUAAUUCCUCCACACCCCCUUUUGUUUUCUCAUCUUCUCUCUCUGCUCCAUUUCCAGAAAUCUCUCCAAGUCCCAGAGUGCAGAGCAGCUCAGGUGACUGGGGACUAGAAGAGAGCCCCUGUUCUCUAAGCUUGCCCCACCCAGCUCGGGGCCCCCUGAAGAAGAAACAUGUGUUGAGUCUGGGGUAGGGUUCCCCUUGCCUUAAGGAUAGCAAAAAUGUUCUCCGUGUCGCUAUUCCCUGGUGUGGAGGGAGGACGCUGGGUAAGACUCCUUGUGACUAGAUAGAAGUUUGUUUUCUUUUUCCCACAUCGGAGCUUCCCAUACGCCCCCUCUGUCAGAGUACCAUAGUUAGGGGAAACACUGUUUUCCAGGGAGCAGAUGGGUUGGGAAGUGGGAGGAACUUCCGGGCACAGAGAAGAGAGGUCAGAAAAGGGAGCAUUAAAUAAACUUUGAAUGACUGACACGAGGCUUUUUUCAGAUGGCUAGAGACAAUUUCUAUUGCAUUUGGAUAUAGAUAAAUUCUGCUUGGAUCUUCCAUCUCCUGUUCCACGUCUAGCUUCCACAUUGUCCCUCCCCACAUAAGAUGAUGAACACAGCAGUUAAGAUCAUCUGAUAGGCCUUCCAGCGACAUGCAACAGCUAAUACCUACUCUGUAGAUGACCUCACAUUGGUGACCAUGACAGUAGGCACCGUCCCUCCUCUCACAGAGCUUACAGGCCAAUAGAAGUUACACACAAAUGAAAAAUAAUUCUAAAAUACUGCCGCUGUGCUGUGUGGGGGAAACAAUAGUGUUGAGGGAGCAUAGAGCACAGGAGCUAAGAUGAAGGACUGAAGGAGAAGAAAGGGGCUUGGGAGCUUGUGUUAGACCCGUUUCUCUGUGUUAUCUAAGACUUGCCAGGGAUACUCCAGCUUGGCCUUGCUAUAUGGUGACUGCAUCCCUUCCAGAGUGCUCCUAGUUUACAAAGCAAGCAUCUUUGCCUUCCCUAACUACUGGGUAGCUGUUGGGUUUAGGGAGAUGAGACUCUUCUGAGAAUAGCCAGAGGGAAAAGAAUCUGUUUGAAGACAGACCAAACAUGAUUAUGAUUAUGAUUUAGAGGUCAUUAAUGUCAAGAUUUAGAUUGACAGCUCCUGUCACCUUAAGACCUCUGGGGUUUUCCUGUGUACUACCUAGAAAUGGCCAUCUUCCCAUUAUCUGGAACUUACUGGGGUUGGGCUUUUCUUCCACCUCUUCCGCCACCAUCCCCGGAAAAGUGCAGGGGAUCUAACUGGAGGUCUGCCGAUGCUAGACAAGCGCCCAUCACUAAGCUCUCACCUCGGACCUGAAACCUCUAAUAGCGUUAUCAGUCUGGACAAAAAUUGAUUGAUACACACCCAGUAAAUAUUCACUUGUGGCACAUCUGAAUUGCUGUUAGUCCUUCAAACACUGAAACUAUUUCCAUAAUAAGAUACGCAGGCCUAGAAAUGGACAAAGUAAAAUAAAAAGUUCUAGCAUUUUCUCCCUGCUCUCCAACAGGUAGAAGCAUAAACACACACACACACACAGAGAGAGAGAGAGAGAGAGAGAGAGAGAGAGAGAGAGAGAGAGAGAGAGAGCACCGUUUCAGGGAAGGUUAGUGAAGGGAAGCGCAGAGCUGGUGAGUGAAUACAAUGGGAAGACAGGCACCUGGCUAGUUUGGUUUUCUUUCUUCUCUAGUAUUCAUAAUCCACUCUGGAAUACCAGUUUGGCAGAGCUCAUGGAUCUGAAAGGUGCAGCUUUUCAUCCUGGCCUCUGCCCCUUGCCUUCUCCUUGGACUCCUGCCCCACCUCUCUUAGGACUGCCAAGUUCCUUCCUAGCAUCUUCUCUGGGCCUGGCUGCAGAGACUAGCGUUCUGUAGUCCACUGAGCCGCCACACCUCCAGUAAAUCUGCUAGUGCUUGUGUAAGGUCUCACCCUGGAGAAACACCUUGGAGGGAGGGAAAGGGAUACAUGUGCACAGCCUGAUUCAAACAUCUGGAACGAGGCUGCUGGCCUGGGUGUGAGCGGUGUGGGCCAGGCCAGCGGCUUCAUUAGAGAAAUUCUUAAUGCUCUGUGGAGGAGUGAGAGGGGUUCCUGCUAACAUUUGGAGGUAGAGGAUGGGAGGAAUGGGGAAAAUGGGGGUGAAUGAGGUGUAAGUGCCCUCCCUCACCCCAAAAGGGAACGCCUCUAGCACCCUUGAAUUUUCCUGUCUGGUUUAAGCUUCAUGCUGAGAGCUGAGUGAGGCCAGGAGAGAGCUGGCCAGGCCCAGCCCCACACUCUGCCUACCCUUAGCCAGCCAGCCUCUCCUCUCUCAGAGCUGAGCAUCUGAGUUUGCUCACACAAUGUACUAGGCAGGCGUUAGAGAUCUUGAGAGUAUAGCUAGAACUUCUGGGCCUGAGAGCGGUCUCUCCUUUUCCUCCCCCCCGUCCCCCGUCCCCCGUCCCCCGGCAUGGGACCUCUAGCCUGGCCAGCUCAGCAGCUCUGCAGCAACUCUUCCAAGCAUUUCAGUGUGUUCUUGAGUUUGGCUUGCCUUUUUUAUCUAUUUAGUGUUUGAAUAGUAGCCUCCUAUUCCUUCUGCCUCUGAAUUACACUCCAGCCUCUAGUUUGAGGUGAGUGCAUUGUUUUUUGUUGUUUGUUUGUUUGUUGGCCUUCUAGUCACAGAGAUCCUCCUGCCUCACCUUUCAAAUGCUGAAAUAAUAGGUAUGCUCCGUUCCUGGCUCCUACUUUGACUUUGACUUUUUUCUAGUUAGUUAGUUAGUUAUAGUUUAUUUUAUGUGUAUGAGGUUUUAUUAGCACAUAUAUAUGUGCACUGUGUUCAUCAUGCCCGGUACCAGCCAGAGGAGGUCAGAAGAGACCAUGAGACCCCCUGGAACUGAAGUUAGAGAUGGCUCACAGCCACCUUGUAUAUGAUGGGAACUGAACCCAGGUCCUCAGCAAGAGCAACAAGUACUCUUAACCACUGAGCCAUCUCUCUAGCCCCUUCCUUUUCUCCUUUUUUAGGCAGGGUCUCAUGUAGGCUAGGCUGGCCUCAAACUUGCUCUGUAGCUAAGGAUGACCUUGAACUUCUGAUCGUCAUGUCUACUUCUCCAGAGUGCUAGGAUUUCAAUAUUGUACUGCCCCCUCUUAUUUUAUAUGGUGCUGACAAUCGAGCCCAGAGCUUUGUACACAUUAGGCAAGUGCACUACCAACUGAGCUAUGUCCCCAGCUCCUUAACCCAUUGUGUUGCCUUGAGCCUUCAGCAGGAGGGAAAGAAAAUUGGUGUUCCCUCACUGACUGAGGCAGCCAGUCGCAGCUAGCCUUAGGAGUGGGGUUUUCACUAUUUUUAUUUAGCUCAAAGGUGUGAGCCCUGGGACAAUGACACUGGCUAGAGAGGAGCACGUGCAUGCAAUGCAGGAAGGUGACAAAGCAGAGGGGUAAAGAGGGUGAAGGCUCUGGGGAACCUUGUCUCCCCUGUGUUAGAGCUCGGAUGGAGGAGGCUCAGGGUUGGGGGCAGGGGCGUGAUGAAGACAGGCCCUGAAGACAAGGCCACUCUACAGGAACAGUGUUGUCUAGUUCAAUGUCCUCUUACUUUGACCUUGAGUCUGUCCCUCCAUCUCAAGGCUGGGAGUCCAGGACAGCAUGUCCCCCUGGUUGUGCCUGUAUUGAAGAGGAGGUGUUGGGACAGGAAGGGUGUUCUAUGCUACUUGAAAGCACAGCAUUUGGUCAGGAGCACUAGCUGGCUCCAUCCGCAGACACCUCUGAUCUUAAGCCUCUCAUCCCCUUAGAAGCCUUGGAAGUGCUUUAAGUAGGACUUGAGGAUAGAUUUUUAUGUUAGAGGUGAAGACUGAGAAAGGAACCAGGUCCUCGGUAAGCCAGGCAAGCUCUCUACCAUGGAGCUAGUACCCAGACCUUGAAAUGUACCCCAAUGUCUAUUCUCAUGUACCAAAAGAAAUGACUGCCUUUAGUCAACCUCAAAUAACGUCUCCCUUGCACUGUCCGUGUGGAGGAGGCUUUUCAUCUACCUCCUCUGGCAAGGCAUCAUAAUUCAGAUAGCUGGGAAGUCCCUCAUGACCUAGAUCCACCCUUUCUGAGGCUGAGCUGAUUCUGAUAAACGGUGCCUCUACCCACACCAUCUUUGGUGUGAACAGGAGACUAACCAGGCUCUCUCGUGCAGGAGCCACACCGCUAUAGGCUGGGGCUCCACUCCUCCCGGCCUAGGUCCUGCACAGGCUUAUAGCAGACACGGGUGCCCACUGCUCCUGACUCUGGCCUGCCCAAACGGAGCAGACACCCUGCAGCUCCCAGCAUGCGUGCAGGCAGUGACUUCACAGACUCACAUUCUCUUUGCCUCUCCCAACUUAUGUGCUCAGCCUGGUUCUAAGGGCUAGACGCGCUCUCAGUUUGGGUGGGGCUGUCUCUCUCAUGUUCUCUAUGAAAAUUUGUCUGAGGGCGAAAUUUCCCCGAGAAUUUCUCGGGAAACCCCUUUUCCUGUGUUUUCUGAAUAGCCUUCUUGCCAAGUCCUCCUUCCCUCUCCAGGAGGCUGUGUAAGUAUUUGAGAAGCCACUGUGGAGUUCGGGGCCCAAAACAUUUUUCUGGGCUGGACAAGUCUUUGUGUGAAGUUAAAGCUGCUGAGAUCAGGGCUGGGAAGCCUCUCUGGGGUGGAAAGAAUGAAGUGGAAAGCCCAAAAUUGGGAAUUGGCAGGGCUCCCAGACCCACAUGGCUUUCCUGCGCAACACCACAUGUCAGAGAGGAUUCCCAAGGCUACCCAGGCUAACAUCCAGGGCCCGCCCUGGCCUCCUGCGGAGCUCUCUGGGAACCUGGGCAGCCACUUGACUUCUUAAGGAAGCUUUUGUACAGUCUGUGUGACUGAAGGUGGGGCCUGAAGGUGGCAAAUAGCUAAUGGGUGUGGGGCAGGUGAAAUGGCUCAGUGAGGAAGGGUCCCUGCUGCCAGAUCUGAUGAUCUGAGUUUGAUCCCCCAGACCAUACAUAGUGAAAAGGAAAAAACAAAUUUCUACACGUGUCUCGAGCACUCAAGGGUGCACGCAUGCGUGUGUGCGCUUGUGUGUGAAAGAAAAAGGCAAGAGAGGAGCAAGCAUGUCCCUUUGAGGAAACAUCUAGGUGAGGGCAAGUCCCACCUUUUUAUAUGAUCUAGAAUGUAUUUUGUUUUGUUUGUUUGAGUCCAGAAAAGGUCAUAGGAGCCUUUAGUGAGCUCAAACUUAGUGAGCGCAGGCUUCAUGAAUGGGCUCUGAUGAACCUGAUGCGCCAUCCCUGAGGACAGGAAAAAGGCAGGAUCCCACAGAGGCAGCCCUGGCUUGCUCAGAGGUACACAAGUGACUGUGUAAACACUCUGGCAUAAGAAAUAAGAUGGCCAUUUGCCUGGAAGUACCAGCAAACAGGGUAAGUUGGUCACUUAGAAGGGAGCCUCCGUUGAGCCCUACUGUUCUCGUGUCCCAAAAUCCUUUGGGCAGAGGUUGGCAACCAGCUACCUCCUGUGGGUGAUACAGACCCUGCCCCUGCUAAUGCAAGGAGCCUGUGACCUCUUCAAGCCUUAGUUGCCUUGAGCAUCAAAUUGGGUUCAUGAUAACUUCCUCCACUGGCUACAGAUGUUUGAACGAGAAGCGAAGUGAGCCUGCUGCAGUGCCUGCCACACAGCAAUCACUUGAACAUUAGCAACGUUGUUCAUUACUCAUCCACUGGGUUCCUUCACCAGGCUUGAGUGUGUGCCUUGUGCCAGGUACUGCUGCUAUAGGCCUUAAGAACAAAGCCAAGCACCCUGCUCUGGAAGGAGGUGAGCAAGCAAUGGAUGAAUAAGGUCUCCGCAAGUAAGGGAUGAGAAGACCUUAGAGGGAAGCUGUACAACAGACUGGAAAAUGGCACACACAUUUCCUUGCUUUGUGUGAAGCUCAGUGGAGUAUCCCUGCCCCGGAUUCUGAGUGUCCUUGGCUGUCGACCUGUUUUCAAGACAAAGAGUGCCCCACCCUACCUGUGGGGGAACCCAUUGAAUGGGCAGCCAACGGCAUCCAGUGCCAAAGCCAUCCAGUGCCAAAGCCAAAGCCAAAGCCAAAAAAAAAUCUAAUUUGUCGCAAAUAUGUGAACAACUUAAUGAAUACCAACUUGGAUUGACUGCUAGGCGGGCUUUCCCUACCACCUCUGACUCCAGACGAGGGGCCAGGAUUCUCAGGAAGCUACUGAGUAUAAUUCUGCCUCCCCACCCCCAUGCUGGGAGAGAAAGGGAGAGGAAGGGAGAGAGAGGUGUUAGGGUUACAUGUUCUGUUUUAGUGGGGAAAAUGCUGGUCGUCAUUAACUGUAUAGUAUCUAGAAACUUCGUAACCUUGCUUGGCUCUUAUUCAGCCUGAGCUGCAAUACUUUGUCUAGUUGAUACCAAGUACUUAGCCACUGAGUAAAGCAGCUUGCUGGGGGUUGCAUGAGAAAUGGAAAGGCAGGGAUGAUACAACUAAGGCUACCUUGCCUUGAGAGUUCUACUUCAGUGAUCUACAGCUCCUAGAA